GAUCCUGGCUCAGGACGAACGCUGGCGGCGCGCCUAACACAUGCAAGUCGAACGAGCGAGAGAGAGCUUGCUUUCUCGAGCGAGUGGCGAACGGGUGAGUAACGCGUGAGGAACCUGCCCCAAAGAGGGGGACAACAGUUGGAAACGACUGCUAAUACCGCAUAAGCCCACGGGUCGGCAUCGACCAGAGGGAAAAGGAGCAAUCCGCUUUGAGAUGGCCUCGCGUCCGAUUAGCUAGUUGGUG
rnacentral:rRNA from 1 species